GAAACCUAUUUCUGGUGCCUGACACUUCUGUGUUUCCAGACAGGGUGUCCCAAGUCCAGUGCCACAUGGCCUGGGAUUUCUGGGGUUCUGUGGGGAGUGGAAAUUUUUCCUGGGUGGCCCUCAUUGCUUCUGUCAUCUUCCUCCAUAAACUGUUGCACCUCUACCAUUCUGCCUUGGAGCCAGCUGAUUAUGGACUGAAACCUCUACAAACUGUGAGCUAAAAAAAUCUUUUCCCCUUUAAAAAAAAAAAGAAAAGAAAAGAAAAAGAAAUUUUUCCUGGACAAAGAAACCACAGGCUCACAGCAAAUGUGACUGACUUCACAUCACAAGGUUGGGUUCCUGUCUCUCUGGUGGCUUCUCAUUUUCCUCCUGAAAUGUCAGCUCCACAAGACCGGGGAUUGUGUUUGUCUUCUUCACCUCUCAAUCCCAAGAAAUACAGUGCUCAUGGCCCGUGUAUUAAAGGCUUGGUCCUUAUCUUGGUGCUAAUGGAAGGUGAUGGAAGCAUUUAAGAGGACCUUGCCUUGUGAGGCAGGCGGCGGAACCACUGAGCUGAAUCCCCAGGCCAAGAUGAAUUCUUAACACAUAAUUGGGGCUCUAUCAUGAUCGCUCACCAUGAGGAAUAUAUUCACACUUUCCACGUAUUCAAUUUAGAUGUAAAGUAAUAAUACUGGCUUCUGGAACUACAGAAGAGAAACUUAUUAUAUUAUAGACGUAUUUUACAAAUAUGACCUCCCACAUCUGCUGGGAAUUCAAACAAUAUGCAGAAAGUUCCGAUAAAACUAGACAGUAGAAUACAGGAAAAUUGAGCAAUAGAUCUAGUAAGGGAAUGUAGUUUGCAAUUUUGCCAAAGGCUUGAGAACUCUCAUGUCACAUGAUUAUAGAAAG
ensembl:lncRNA